UGGGGUGUAGCCAAGUGGUAAGGCAACGGACUUUGACUCCGUCAUUCGUUGGUUCGAAUCCAGCCACCCCAGCCA
rnacentral:tRNA from 1 species